rnacentral:rRNA from 1 species
AGAGAUGUGUGAUGACGCAUAUCAAUAAGCGGAGGAAAAGAAACUAACUAAGGAUUCCCUCAGUAACGGCGAGUGAAGCGGGAAGAGCUCAAAUUUGAAAUCUCCAAGGUUCUACCUUGACGAAUUGUAGUUUAUAGAAGUGUUUUCUGUUAGUAGAGUGGCAAAAGUUCUUUGGAAUAGGACAUCAUAGAGGGUGAGAAUCCCGUAUUUGACCGUUAUUCUCUAGCUGUGUGAUACACUUUCAAAGAGUCGGAUUGUUUGGGAAUGCAGUCCAAAAUGGGUGGUAAAUUUCAUCUAAAGCUAAAUAUUGGCGAGAGACCGAUAGCGAACAAGUACCGUGAGGGAAAGAUGAAAAGAACUUUGAAAAGAGAGUUAAACAGUACGUGAAAUUGUCAAAAGGGAAGCGUUUGACACCAGUGUUGUUUUUCCGAAAAUCAAUUACGAAUGUUUUGUUUUUAAGGAAGUUAUGACUUCAUCGGCUUGCUUCUCUCUUUACGAAACUUUCUUAAUGCACUUUUCGGUUAACAAGUCAACAUCAAUUUCUUUUGUUGUAAAAGGGUAUGAGGAAGGUGGCUUUCUUUUCGGAGAAAGUGUUUAUAGCCUUGUACCUCUGCAAUCGGAGAGAUUGAGGUCUGCAGCGUAGAUCCUUCGGGGUUAGAUACAUUUGUGCUAAGUUAUAGCUUUUCAUAGACAACUUGUUGACUAUGUUUAGUCUUGUAGCUUACUCGCUUACGCUAUUUUACCUACGCUUAGGAUGUUGAAGAUGUAGCACAUCAU